rnacentral:rRNA from 1 species
AUAUUGGCGAGAGACCGAUAGCGAACAAGUACCGUGAGGGAAAGAAGAAAAGCACUUUGGAAAGAGAGUUAAACAGUACGUGAAAUUGUUGAAAGGGAAACGCUUGGAGUCAGUCGCGUUGGCCGGGAAUCAGCCUUGCUUUGCUCGGUGUACUUCCUGGUGAACGGGUCAGCAUCAGUUUUGACCGCUGGAAAAGGGCCAGAGGAAUGUGGCAUCUUCGGAUGUGUUAUAGCCUUUGGUCGCAUGCGGCGGUCGGGACUGAGGAACUCAGCACGCCUUCGGCCGGGGUUCGCCCACGUUCGUGCUUAGGAUGCUGGCAUAAUGGCUUCAAUCGACCCGUCUUGAAACACGGACC